rnacentral:pre_miRNA from 1 species
AGGGGGAGGUCGGAUCCUGGGCUGUGUCCCCGGUGUCCUGUGCUCCCGGGCCUGUGCUGUUGUUACCGCGCUCCCGGCUGGGCAGCCCCCU